GUCCUAUUGAUAUUAUUUUAGGUCUAACCUGCCCACUGAUUUUUUAAUGGCCGCGGUAUUUUGACCGUGCAAAGGUAGCAUAAUCAUUAGUUUUUUAAUUAAAAGCUGGAAUGAAAGGUUGGAUGAAAAAUUAACUGUCUCUAUUUAAAUUAAUUGAAUUUUAUUUUUAAGUUAAAAAGCUUAAAUUUAUUUAAAAGACGAGAAGACCCUAUAGAGUUUAAUAAAAAUUAAAUAAUUUAUUUUUUAGAAUUUAAAAAUAAAUUUUUUACUUAUAUUUAAUUGGGGUGAUUAGAAAAUUAAAAUAACUUUUUUUUAUUUAAAACAAUAAUAAUUGAUUUAUUGAUCCAGAAAUUUUGAUUAUAAGAAUAAAUUACCUUAGGGAUAACAGCGUAAUUUUUUUUGAGAGUUCUAAUCGAUAAAAAAGUUUGCGACCUCGAUGUUGGAUUAAAGUUAAAUUUUGGAGUAGAAGCUAAAAAUUUAAGUCUGUUCGACUUUUAAAACUUUACA
rnacentral:rRNA from 1 species